rnacentral:rRNA from 1 species
CCGCCAGAGAACUACAAGUGAAAAACUUGAAACUCAAAGGACUUGGCGGUGUCCCACAUUCGACCUAGAGGAGCCUGUCCUAUAAUCGAUACCCCACGUUUUACCUCACCAUCACUAGCACUAACUCAGCCUAUAUACCGCCGUCGACAGCUUACCCCAUGAGGGAAAAAUAGUAAGCAAAAUAGCCCUCCCCGCUAAUACGUCAGGUCAAGGUGUAGCUCAUGUGACGGAAGAGAUUGGCUACAUUUUUUAUAUUAAAAAACACGGAAUGCUACAUGAAAAAUAACAUGAAGGCGAAUUUAGUAGUAAGAC